GAUCAAAACUUCGGAUACAAUUUAUAAACAAGAUACCCUAAGGAAUUUAAUUUAAGUUUGAAGGUAAUUGGUCCAGUACUUUCAAAGGAGAAGAUUUUUAAAUGUUAGCAAACUUGAUGAACAAAUUGUGUAAAAUUGUUUUUAAAGGACAAUAACUCCUUAAGGGGUCAAUUGCCAAUUAUGGUCAUAUUGACUUUUUUGUAGGUCUUACUUUGCUGAACAUUAUUACUGUUUACAGUUUAUCUCUACCUAUAAUAAUAUUCAAGAUAACUACCAAUUAGGUGGCAGCAACACAAAAAUGAGUUGUUAGAUUCGUCUGAUCAAAACUACAAUUUACCCCAUAUCAGAAUUGCUCUAAAAGCUUUAGUUUUUAAGAUAUAAGCCAAAAACUGCUUUUGAUCCCUAUGUUCUAUGUUAAGCACUGGCGGCCAUGGUUAUCGAUGGAUGAAACCUCGG
rnacentral:lncRNA from 1 species